rnacentral:lncRNA from 1 species
UAGGGUUUGUUCAAAGACAGAAUAGUAUUUUUCAUUGAUUACUGAAAAGAAGCAGUUACAUCCCUAUUUAUAGAGUUCCACCCAAAGUCUAUCAGGACUUGAACUCUAAUAAUAAAUAAAUAUUAAAUAAACCUCUACUUGACUCUAAUUGAACCAAAUCGACUCAAUAAACAACUGGACUAAACAGACUCAAUAAACAUUAUUCAAAAGCUCAGAAAAAG